rnacentral:rRNA from 1 species
CCUACGGGGGACAGCAGUAGGGAAUCUUCCGCAAUGGGCGAAAGCCUGACGGAGCAACGCCGCGUGAGUGAUGAAGGGUUUCGGCUCGUAAAACUCUGUUAUUAGGGAAGAACAAAUGUGUAAGUAACUGUGCCCGUCUUGACGGUACCUAAUCAGAAAGCCCCGGCUAACUACGUGCCAGCAGCCGCGGUAAUACGUCGGUGGCAAGCGUUAUCCGGAAUUAUUGGGCGUAAAGCGCGCGUAGGCGGUUUCUUAAGUCUGAUGUGAAAGCCCACGGCUCAACCGUGGAGGGUCAUUGGAAACUGGGAAACUUGAGUGCAGAAGAGGAAAGUGGAAUUCCAUGUGUAGCGGUGAAAUGCGCAGAGAUAUGGAGGAACACCAGUGGCGAAGGCGACUUACUGGUCUGUAACUGACGCUGAUGUGCGAAAGCGUGGGGAUCAAACAGGAUUAGAUACCCCUGUAGUC